rnacentral:sRNA from 2 species
CUGGUUCACCAUAUUCCACCGGGUUUAAUGUUGCAGAAAGAGAGCUGUGGCAUGAAAAACCACGGAUAAUAAUAACAUCAAACUAGAAAAAAUUAGUCCCUUCGGCCAGAUCUAAAGGUCGACUUCCUUGCCUUGGCCUGAGGACUGGUGAAACAACUCCAGAUAGCUCUGAGCUAGCGUUUAACUAUCAGAUUCCGCAAGGGACUGUCGUAUUCGAUGCUGCCAUUUUUGGUCGUUGCCCUGGAUGAUGAAGCAGGACAAGUCAGAGCGGACUCCUGGGUCCCAAGGCAGCCUGAUUGCGAGCUGAUGCACGGGUGAAGACAGAAAACAUAGAUUCAAACAAGAGGGGGUAAAUAUAUAUGCCAGCUACUUGUUCACAUGC